rnacentral:rRNA from 1 species
UACGUAGGGCGCAAGCGUUGUCCGGAAUUAUUGGGCGUAAAGAGCUCGUAGGUGGUCUGUUACGUCUGCUGUGAAAACCCAGGGCUUAACCCUGGGCCUGCAGUGGAUACGGGCAGACUAGAGGUAGGUAGGGGAGAAUGGAAUUCCCGGUGUAGCGGUGAAAUGCGCAGAUAUCGGGAGGAACACCUGUGGUGUAGACAGCUUACUGGACCACUUCUGACGCUGAGACACGAAAGCGUGGGUAGCAAACAGG